rnacentral:tRNA from 1 species
GCCGAGAUCGCAUAAUCUGGUAUUGCGCAAGCCUUGAAAGCUUGUCCCGUAAGGGAUUCUGAGUUCGAAUCUCAGUCUCGGCG